rfam:Bombyx mori DNA, contig: Bm_scaf28_contig18041, strain: p50T/Dazao, build 2, whole genome shotgun sequence.
GGAGGUCACGCGUAUUCUUGGGGAAUUAACACAUAUGUGAGAUGUUAUUGCUUGAGAAUACACGUAGCUGAC